rnacentral:rRNA from 1 species
CCUACGGGAGGCAGCAGUGGGGGAUAUUGCACAAUGGGGGAAACCCUGAUGCAGCGACGCCGCGUGGGUGAAGAAGUAUUUCGGUAUGUAAAGCCCUAUCAGCAGGGAAGAAAGAAGACGGUACCUGACUAAGAAGCCCCGGCUAACUACGUGCCAGCAGCCGCGGUAAUACGUAGGGGGCGAGCGUUAUCCGGAUUCACUGGGUGUAAAGGGAGCGUAGACGGCCGUGCAAGCCAGGAGUGAAAGCCCGGGGCCCAACCCCGGGACUGCUCUUGGAACUGGGCGGCUGGAGUGCGGGAGGGGGAGGCGGAAUUCCUGGUGUAGCGGUGAAAUGCGUAGAUAUCAGGAGGAACACCGGCGGCGAAGGCGGCCUGCUGGACCGCGACUGACGUUGAGGCUCGAAAGCGUGGGGAGCGAACAGGAUUAGAUACCCUGGUAGUC